AAGCGUGCGCAGGCGGUUUUGUAAGACUGUCGUGAAAUCCCCGGGCUCAACCUGGGAAUGGCGAUGGUGACUGCAAGGCUAGAGUUUGGCAGAGGGGGGGUAGAAUUCCACGUGUAGCAGUGAAAUGCGUAGAUAUGUGGAGGAACACCGAUGGCGAAGGCAGCCCCCUGGGUCAAAACUGACGCUCAUGCACGAAAGCGUGGGGAGCAAACAGGAUUAGAUACCCGGGU
rnacentral:rRNA from 1 species